rnacentral:rRNA from 1 species
GACGAACGCUGGCGGCGUGCUUAACACAUGCAAGUCGUGCGGUAAGGCCCUUUCGGGGGUACACGAGCGGCGAACGGGUGCGUAACACGUGAGCAACCUGCCCUUCCCUUUGGGAUAACUGCCGGAAACGGUAGCCAAUACCGAAUAUGACUUACACACGCAUGUGGGGUGGUGGAAAGCCUUCGGGGGGCGGGGGAUGGGCUCGCGGUCAAUCAGCGUGUUGGUGGGGUGUGGGCCUACCAAGGCAUAGACUGGUCGCCGGCCCGGGAGGGUGACCGGCCACAAUGGGACUGCGAGACGGCCCAGAAUGGUACGGGCGGCAGCGGUGGGAAGUAUUAGACAAUGGGCGAGAGCGUGAUACAGCAACGUCGGGUGAGGGAUGACGGCUUACGGGGUAUAAACCUCUGUCGCCUUAGCCAAAGAGAGAGUGACGGUAGCAAAUAAAAAAGCAACGGCUAACUACGUG